ensembl:lncRNA
AGUGAUUGGAUUCUAACUAAGAACAUUUAUAAGAUUUGGUAAUGCCCCAGCUCAAUGCUGUAGACUCUAUACAUUCCAUCCAAUAAGGAAGCUGGCUGUGUCACUGCAGUUAACCAGUGACUCUGGUGAGAUGACUGAAAUGACACAUGCCCUUAGAGUCCAUCAUUUUUGUGCUACUGUGAUUGGAAGUUUGCUGAUCCCAGAAUCUUUUGAAUCACCUUGUGAGAUUUCAGUAGAUAUUCACAGAACUGUAGUUUUGGUACUAAUUUUGUUGCCUCAAAUCACUUAAUAAAAUGUAUCCUGAUUUUUCAUCUUGUAAUACAAUUCAUCAUAUUUCAAAAAUUCUUUUUGAUUUUUCUCUUUUAGGCAGUGUAUAUAAAUAUUUUAUAUUUUAAGCUACUCUCUUUUGACUAGAUCCUUUAUAAUUUAAACACAUAAAAUUAAAAAUAUUUACUGUGUUGAUUUUUAUACAUUACACUGGUUAUUAUGAAUUAUAAUACAGAAAAACUUAAGACACUUUCACAGAUUUGCUUUCUGCUUGGUAGGUAUGAAUAAGGAAAAAUAUAAAACAGAGUGCAGUGAAAUGUGUAUACUUUGUGUGAACUAAUAUGUCUAAUCUUCCUUUUGGUCAUUUAGAAAAAUGUUAAAUAUGCAAUUUAACGGUUUCACAUUAACCUUCUUCUGAAAUAAACAUUUUCUACAUAAUCAUUAUUCUUUGUAAUUAUGUAAUGACUUGUUGCUUAUACUUUUCCAAUGUGUUCCUGAUAUUUUCCCUCCUUGGAACUACACUGCCGAGAUAUGUAUAUACACAUGAAUCCACAUAGUAUUACUGGUCAUAAUUCCUUACAAAAUUGUAAUACUUGAUUUCAACAGAAUGUGUAUUUCUAAUUUAUAUAAUGUCUCUUCCUUUUCAUAACUCUUUAAUUUUUUUUGUGAAAAAUACUUUGAUAAGGGUCCAAUUAAGCUAAAUGCAGUUGUCUUCAGAGUAAAAGGUGAUGCUCCAUUGGAAUAAUAUGCCAAAGCCUUGCCUUGUGAACCUUUUCUUUCAGUAAAGAACUGGUCCAGUACUGUAGAACCAUUCACCAAAAAGUCGACUUGUAAAGUGGGAGGGAUCUGUGUGCUGAUACAAAUUAGCACAUCUACUAAAAGUGAUGCUAAAAGGAAAUGCUGGUUGAAUUAAGUACAAUGUUUUCAUCUUUUAUACUUAUCUUUAGAGGUUUUUUUUUUGUGGUUGUUUCUUUUAUUUUUGUUUUUGUUUUUUUUUUUUUAAUUCGUUAGUGGUUACCAUUUUAAACUUUAGCACCCAUUUCAUAUUCUCAAAUGCUAUUAUAUUUUGCAAUAUUUUAUCUCUUCUCAACUUUAUGUGUUGUCAUGAAAUUAUAUUUUUCACAAACCAAGAUAGUUGUCCCUAUGGAACUGUUAUUCUAUGCUAGUGCAUAAGUAAUUCUAUUGAUUAAACAAUAUAGCUUCCAAACCGGAAGGCCUUUCUCGGCCUCACUCUGAACCUCCUGUGUGGUAUCAUUUGUUUGAGGUCUUAUUAAAAUGUAAAUAAAUUAUGCGCAGCACACUUCCUCUGUUUACCCAACUCACCGUAUUGAAGCGACUGUCUUGCUGGAGCACAGAUUGAUAUGUAGUGUGUUUCUGUACUGAACCAAGGGAAGAGGCGUUGUAUGAAUAUUUAACAGAACCUACUUCAUGACAAUUUUUAAAAGUAUUUUAUGAAUUGUAGAUAAUCUGAGCCAUGGGAUAUGAUGUAAUUCUGCAUACCAGAGUUCAUAGAAGGAAGAUAACUCCUCAAACAGAAUUGGAUUAGGCUCCUGAGGAAUAUGUGUUGGGGCUUUUAUAGCACUUUAACUUUAUCCCACGUUUAAUUGCGCAUAUUACUAUUGUAGUACUGCAGUAAAUGUAGCAGGAAUGGAAAUACAAAAGGAAGGAUGCCUCCUAAAACAAUUUGUCUUUACUGUAAUGCACAUUUUUCUCUAAUGUUUUAGAUUCAAAUAUGCCAUUUUUGUUUCUCUUGAGAAGCAAUUGCUAACCUCUAUAAUUUCAGAGAAAAUUUAUAAUCUGUGUAAUGCUACUUUCUCAAUAUACAAAAUUAGAAUUCCCACAGGAGAAGAUUAGAUCAAACAAAAUCUAUGAAAUCACAAGUAAUAAUAAGUUACUUAAAAGUUGAUAAUAUCAAGCCUAUGGAAUAUAGUGCUACUUAAUUCAUUAAUGUGUUAGUUUUAGAAACAAUUAGUGUACAAAUUGCUCAUUUCUACACUACACAGAAAUGGUGAGAUGAAGAAGCAAUUUAGUGAUGUACAAUAAAGCGAAUUUGGCAAAAUGAAACUGGUAGUAAAAUUUACCUUAUUGGAGGCUAGAAGAUGUUUUAGUAGGUAAUGUGCUGACCUCAUAAUCCUGAAAAUCACCCUUGUAAGAAGCUGGAUUUGGUGUGCAUGUCUGCUUGAUAAUCAGAAUUAGAAGGACGCCUGUAUUCUGCAGGCCAGGCUAGUCAGCAGGCUUGAAAGUCAGUGUGAAACCUUCUCUCAAGUAUAAAAUGGAGAAUGAUUGAAGAAGAAAUGGGACACAUGUGCACGCAUAUACAAACAUACACUCAAAACAUGCAUCUCAUUGGAAUGUUAUCUUAAAUUACAGUAGUGCCGAUUAUUAUUGUACAAUCAAAUUAUUAUUGUCGCUUGUAAUUUUUCUUAUACAUUUCUAUAUUUUCCAUCGUUUUCUUUCAUGAUUCUUACUGAUAUUCAUUACCUUUCUUCUUUGACAACUGUAAAUACGCAUAUGAAACAUUCUAGUUACCCGCACCCCACCCUGUUCUCUCACCACUGUCAUUCUGUCCCCUUGCCUGUCUAUUUCUCACAUUCAUAAAGUCUGGAUUUCGUCUUAUGAACCACUAUGCUUAAUGAGGCCCAUCAUCGUGGCUGUGGGUUUUGAACUAUUCAUCAGAGCCUUCUGAGCUUACUCUGAGUACACAAAUGAAGUUAAUGACUGCCUCUCCCUUAGUGAGUUAAUAAUUCACCAUAGUCAGGUGUGGCCGAGUGAAUCUCCCAGUCUGUGACAGACGAAUGACAGGCCCAUACCCAAGGCAGGCAACUAAAACUGCUCUGAGAUCCUGAUUGCAGUGGCUCUAUCUUGUUCAGAAGGUAGCAUUUCCUGUCCAUUUUUCUAUCUUGCAGCUCUUACAUUCUUUCUUCCCAUAACGUUCUGCUCAUAUCUUCCUACCAUCCCUCUUCGGCAGUGCUUCCUGGAUGUUAGAGCGGACAGUUUAAGUAUCCUGUUUGUAGGGCUUGGCACUCAGUCAUCGCUUGUGAGCACACGAGUCAGCAGACUCCACAGUUCCCUGCGAAGAGAAGCUGCUCUGACUGCCUGAAGUUACAUUUCAAGAGCAAAAUCACUGCACCUUAAAAACAAAAGAUUGGGCUGCACUGUGUUCCUGUAAGUGGGAGCUUCCUUUACCUUCUUCCUCUGUGACCAACCCACAAAGGGACAAAACCACUGCUAUCAUAGUAACCAGUCAUGAGGGAACAUCUGAAUGUCCCCGAAGAAAUAUAAGCUUAAAUGAUUUCCUUUUUUAAAACAGAGUUAUUGAGCUCAAUGUUUCAGGGUGUCUUUUAUUCCCUCGAAAUUAUGAAACCUUUCUUUUGGCAGGUUUGAAUUUCAUUAGAGAGGGUGUCGCCCACUGUGCCUGAGCACAGUGACAUAAGUCCUGGGUGGAAAGAUUUGUGCAUUCUUACACCCGACUCUCAAGAGGUAAAAGAAUUCUUUCAAAUCAAAGUAAAUUUCAUUUUCUUUGGUGAUGUCACUAGAAAUUGUUAGCCUUUGUGUCAAUGGAAAUGGUAACUUCCUGAUGACAUCACAAGAUUCUAUAGCCUGAAGAUUUGGGGCAAACCUAAGUAAAAAUGCAUAAUUCCCUUGUGUGCGUGUGUUCCCCAUUCUGCUACGAAACAGUCAAAAUAGCACAUCUUAUGUCUUCCCGUGAGCUACAAGGCUGUCUCUCAGAGCCCCAUUGUUCCAUAAAUGCAUGUCAGAGUCUACCACAGUCUGCUCUACCCUUAUUUAGCUGCUGUUUUGUCAAUGUACUUGGAAGAACAAUUAACAUUUGGGAUUUCAAUGUCUGAAUAACAGGCAGUGAAUAGAACUGGAGCAAAUAAAAGAUUCAGAUGCCCAGGGUAGGAAACAGAAGCUUAUAGUUGGUGGGAGAGAGACAGAAAAUCAUUUAGUGCUGCAUUCAGGUUGAGAAACACUAUAAGGAAUGAGGUUUUUCAUAUUUUGGAUCAAAAUAAACAUUUUAGUAAUAAAAUCAGGUUUCUGAUGCCUCCUAAGUUUGGCAGUCUGAGGUUUUCUGUCAGAGUUAAAGCCCAUGUCUUCUGUGAGAGAGCCGAAUGUGAUAUCCUUUCUGCCUCCAGUUUCUGUCGUGCAGGUCCUCACACAGGACAGACCAUUUCCUUGGUUUUCACUUUGCUUCCUUCUGCAGUCAGACCUAGGGGUUUACAUAUCUGUAUCUUUUGUCUGAGUCCUCCUAAGUUCUUUUUGUUGGUUUUCUUUUGUUUUUGAGAGAAAUGGAUCCUAGGACACCUUGGCAACUUGGUUUUGUUGCCAAUCAAGACUGAAUAAAUAAGUAAUGGUUGCUAAUUUUAUUGUAAUUACAAAAGUUCAAGACUUUGGACAGUAAGGUUUCCAAAGCAAGGGCUCAUUCACUUUUUAAUCCCAACAUUUAUCACUGUAAUGGAUAAACACACACACACACACACACGCACACGCACACGCACACGAAUGCACACGCACACACCCACACGCACACACGCACAAAGCUAUGUUCUCAGUAUGAUUAUAAACAUUUUUAAAAGCAGAAAUCUGAGAUUACUUACUGUAAAAAAGUAUGUGGUAAAGAGAUUUGGGCACUUGGGAGGACAAUGAUGACAAUAAUUUGCUAUAGGACAUACUCCUGUUCCUAGCAGACAGGGUGCCAGCCUCUCGUUCUUUUCUUACCUUGCUAAUUUAUCCUUGUUUUCCUGACCCAAAAGACAAGCACCCAUUCAUAAAUAUCCAUUCUGUCCAUGUGUGAUACAUCUUCAGGCGUUUUCUAUGUAAGUUCUGCAUUAUUUUUCAUGUACUAGAAUUGACUUCAAAGGUAAAGCCACCCAGACGGAGAGUAAGUGGCCAUGUCCACCUCUCCUGUUGGCUCUAUGGUAGACUGCGUUUAAAGAAGAGAAGCAAGAACACAGUGGAAGACAGAGUCUUGGGAAAUUGAAUCAGACAUCAGAACCAGUUCUCAGCACCAUAAGGUCACAAUAUUCUUUAGAACUCAGAUUAUCAUAAAACAUAAGAGCAGCAAAAAAUGUUAAGAAAAAUGAAGUCAUCUCAGUUUGAAAUCAGUAGAUGGGACUUGGGGAGUGCAUUCAGGCUUUGCAAACCAUAUUGGCUCUCAAGGCAGAUCCUGCUUAAGCAUGUAGCCAGGACAGAAGACCAACCCCUGGAUGUGGAGGCUCACUGGUUUUGUCUAAAGGCAGUAUAAGCAAUGCUUUCUAAGGGACAAAUCUCAUUUUUAUAAUCUUUGAGACUUACUGUAUACCAAGUAGUCUAAAAUUAAUGAAUAAAGCAGAAAUCUGAAAAUAUUAUCAAAACUUCAUUAUCUCCGCAUAUUUUGAUACUAUACUCUUGGUUGUGCCCCAUGGCCUUUAUGGACAAAUUUAUUGGUUCACUUAAUAUUCAUUAUGGUGAUUGACAAAGAUGGUUCACUAGAAACUUCUAUAGUCAUUCAGCUUCUAGUCUUGAGGAUAAAGCCAUGGAUCUGAACAUGGAAUUUAGACUUACCAGCAGUGUGAAUGGUGUUAAAAUGUUGCUGAAGUCAGGGUUCAUUUCUAUAGGGAACAGUUUUGGGAUGUGGGGACUAACAUUAAAUUAAGUAAUUUAAAGUGAAUUAGUUACUAUGCUAAUUUAUUUCAUAUGCCCUUUAUUAAUCCUGUAAUUUCACAAUGCAAAGAGGGAAGUGUCCAACUUUUACCCAGAGUCCAAUCCUAGACCUAUCAUAAUUUGUUUCUCGGUUGUUUUACCACACUCACGCCCUCACCUGCUACCUUAAAGAAGACUAAAUCACUUUGUGCAGAAGUUAAUAACUAUGCCUCUGUGCUGUCCCCCAACCAAAUGAACCACUUGUGCUUUUGCAGAAAUCCACGGAAGCUGUAGCAUACAGAGGAGAAAUCAUGUCCUGAGAGUGUCAGAGUAGAACUCCUGAUAUGUUAUCCAAAAACUCCUCACACCUCUCUCUUGUCCACAGCUUAACACUUACUGUGUCCUUUCUGUGAACAAAACAUGUUCAUUAACACCUGUGGCAUGUAAUUAAGGGGUUUGAAAUCUAUGUGGUAAAUCUCCAAAAACAGAAUCAUUAAUUCAUUUUUCAGCCCUACUUGAUGUUAAGAAUAUAGAAAUGGGCUAGGAAUCUGAGCGGAAUUUACAACCCUCUUAGGGUAUAAAAAACCAACUCAGUACACAGACAAUUACAAAAUUACACAUUCCCUCCAUGAAGAGAACUGUUUAUGCAAGAGGAUGGUUGGUGAGGUAAAUCUAAUUGUAGUCAUCACUGAAGCAUUAUUUCUGCGUUUGAGGACAGCCUGGACCUCCUGAAAUGUAUGCAUAAGGUUGGACACAUUUCCCAUAUGUAUAAACAGAGAAUGCUGACAGCCUUCCGAGAUAAGGCCCAGCUCAUUUCCUUUGUAGUUAAUAAUUAUUAAAGCCCUGUUGCUUGUUAAUCCACUUUUUAAAUAAUUUACAGUGUUCUUUACAUAAGUAAAGAAUAUAUGUCAACAAUAUCUUUUACUCCUGGGCUCUAUUUUUUCCUGUUAAACCUUAACUUUACAUUCAAGUGUGGUAUAUUUUAUUUUAUGCAAUUACCAGAGGUCUAAAAGCAGUGAAAGCCCUGAAAAUUGUUACUUUCUACAGCAAUACUAAAUUUCUAAAUUGAAGAACAAAUCAGAUGGUCUUAAAACAUGUUAUGUUAGUAUCCUAGGAAGUCACUAAACCCGAACAGAGGGACUGGGUUUUUUUUUUUUAUAAUAUUGUAAAUUAGCCUUUUCAAUUAAGAAAUAAAUAGAGAAAAUAUUAAUAUUAAACCAUACAAAAGUAGGUUAUGAUAUAAAGAAAUGAAAAUUAUCUGUCAUAAUUCAGUCAGAAGACAUCACCAAUGGGAAAACACUACAGCAGCAAAGAACCUUAAGAUUUUUUUUCUCAUCUUCUUAUUUUGGAAAUGAGCAAAAUUCAGGCCUAGGAUUCAUAUCCAAGUUACACAGUUAAAAAAUUAACUAUACAGCCAUCUCAUUAAAUACUCAAUAGCCAAGUGGAAAAUCUGGAAAUGUGAGCCCUAAUUCUUAGCUAUGUUACCAUAUGUAAACCACAAAUAGAUGAUCACAGUCCCCACCAUAACCCCUUCAACUUCUUGCAGGAUCCUCCAUGAAUAGAAAUAUGACCAACAUAGGUGGCUCUCAGUCUCUUUACUUAAUGUACCGGAUACCUUUUAAAAGUUGUCCUUGCUACCACAUCAUUGCAAAUACUCAUCAGAAAAUGAAGCAUUUCCAUGCUCUAGUGAAGAAACCCAGCCCCAGAUAGUUAAUUACUAACUGUGAGUUUGUAUCACUUCCAGGCUGAACAAAUCCAAACUUUGUAGGUCUCUGUUACUUGGUAUUUUUACCUGUUGCAUUUUAGUAUCAUCUCGGCUCAUGUGAUCACACAACUUGUUAUUUUUUAUAAUGGUCAAAAGGGACUUUAAAAAUUGAAAAAAAAUGCUAGGAAAGUAAAGUUGCAUUUACAAAGUAUAUCCUUUCUGUAUAAAGCUGUCACAUUGAAUUUUGUCACAUUACAGUAUCAUGCCCAGAUAAAUUAGCUUUAGAAAUCCAUGUAAAAGCUUGAGUCAAUGGUCACACAUAGAGACCACUUCUUUGUUUGUCUUUCUGCUUUUGAGAUAGGAUCUAGUGUAGUCACAGGAUGCCCUCCAAUUCUGUGUGUGGACAAGGCUGACCUUGAACUCCUGAUUCUCCUGCCUCAAUGUUCCAAUUCCUAGGAUUACCAGUGUACACUACCCUGCCUGACUUGCUCGUUAAUCCACUCAUGUCUAGGGCUCUUCGGUAUGCUGUUUAGUUUUCUACAUGUAAUGACAGCAUACCUGCUGUAUUCAUAACAGUUGUAGCACAUUCUGUCCUAUACUUCCUAAGAAAAGGAAUGCUGAGAGAUUGCCUUUAAAACUGAAUCAUGUUAUGUUUGCAAAGCAACAUAAUGGCUUUUUGCUAUACCUCUACAUUUUUUUUCUUUUCUUUAUUUAUAUUUCAAAUGUUAU